GACGAACGCUGGCGGCGUGCUUAACACAUGCAAGUCGAACGGAAAGGCCCUGCUUUUGUGGGGUGCUCGAGUGGCGAACGGGUGAGUAACACGUGAGUAACCUGCCCUUGACUUUGGGAUAACUUCAGGAAACUGGGGCUAAUACCGGAUAGGAGCUCCUGCUGCAUGGUGGGGGUUGGAAAGUUUCGGCGGUUGGGGAUGGACUCGCGGCUUAUCAGCUUGUUGGUGGGGUAGUGGCUUACCAAGGCUUUGACGGGUAGCCGGCCUGAGAGGGUGACCGGCCACAUUGGGACUUGGAUACGGCCCAGGCUCCUAAGGGGGGCAGGAGGGGGGAAUAUUGCCCAAUGGGCGGAAGCCUGAUGCAGCAACGCCGGGUGCGGGAUGACGGCCUUCGGGUUGUAAACCGCUUUCGCCUGUGACGAAGCGGUAGUGGCGGUAAUGGGUAAAGAAGCACCGGCUAACUACGUG
rnacentral:rRNA from 1 species